GUACCGCGCCACGUCCUCCCGGAUCAGCUGGAUGCCGGAGCUGACGCUGUAGGCCCCUGGACUCGGGCAGGACAGGAUGGGAAGUACAGAUGCCUGGAGCAAAGGGGAAGGGAGGAGGCUCAUGGACCCUCCCUGCUCAGAGUUCCCCCCGCUCUACGUCCCUCUGUGUUAAAGGCCUCCCGGGAGGGCUCCUGUCCACAUGGAAAGAUGCAGGCCAGACACUGCCGGCUCCUCUUUACUCUCUGCUCCGGAGGGAGGCAGGAAGGAGUCUCAAGGGCCACCACAGUGCCUCUUCCCCCAAGACUCCAGAGCACCAGAAGUGGAACCCACACAGCUGGGGCUGCAAGCGUGGGGCACAGGUCAUUUCGGGCAGCGGCCUCCAGAAGGACAACACUGGGAGGGAAGAGGACCUGCUUCAGGAGCCCUUGGCUGGCUGCCUCCUUCCG
rnacentral:lncRNA from 1 species